AUCAUGGGAUUAGAAGGGACUGCAGUGGUCAUCUAGUCCAGCCCCCUGCCAAGAUGAAGGAUUUGUUGUGUCUAAACCAUCCAAGACAGAUGGCCAUCCACCAUCUUUUUGUAAACCUCUAAUAAAGAAACUUCCACGACUUCCCUAGGGAGUUUGUUAUAUUGUCCUACUAUUCUUACAGUUAGGAAGUUUUUCUUGAGAUAUUAUCUAGAUCUACUAAGCUGUAGUUUGAACCCACUGCCUCUUCCUCAGUUUCAGUUUU